AUUGAACGCUGGCGGCAGGCCUAGCACAUGCAAGUCGAGCGGCAGCGGAAAGUAGCUUGCUACUUUGCCGGCGAGCGGCGGACGGGUGAGUAAUGUCUGGGAAACUGCCUGAUGGAGGGGGAUAACUACUGGAAACGGUAGCUAAUACCGCAUAACGUCGCAAGACCAAGAGGGGGACCUUCGGGCCUCUUGCCAUCAGAUGUGCCCAGAUGGGAUUAGCUAGUAGGUGGGGUAACGGCUCACCUAGGGUACGAUCCCUAGCUGGUCUGAGAGGAUGACCAGCCACAAUGGAACUGAGACACGGUCCAGACUCCUACGGGAGGCAGCAGUGGGGAAUAUUGCACAAUGGGCGCAAGCCUGAUGCAGCCAUGCCGCGUGUAUGAAGAAGGCCUUCGGGUUGUGAAGUACUUUCAGCGGGGAGGAAGGUGUUGAGGUUAAUAACCUCAGCAAUUGACGUUACCCGCAGAAGAAGCACCGGCUAACUCCGUGCCAGCCGCCGCGGUAA
rnacentral:rRNA from 1 species